CGUUUCGCUCCAUCUAUAUAAAUAAUGUAGUCCACUUAUAUAAGUAUAAUUCCUUCCAUUCGCCGGCUAAUGAUAAGAUUGUUCAGCACAUUGUUUGACUUGACAUCAUCAUUAUAACACAUAUCGUUUUACAUAAAUAUAACCUUCUGACAUUACACUUACACGAGACAUUACAGUUUCCUUAUUUGCACACGCACUGUUCUUGGUAUCCAACAAAGUUCAACGAACUAGACGUCCUGUAAUGAACAUCCGCUUUGGUCGUAUUCUGAAGAGGAACUAAAUCUUCACGGAAUGCCUCACAAGCAUUAUCGAUAUGCAAAUUGCUGGUCUCUAUCUGUAUAUUGUUAUGUAAGAUUAUGCACCGAACAUACAUACGAAAUGUUGACGGAUAUAAUGUUGUAUAGGCAAAAACCAAAACUUGGUAUAGUAGUGGCGAAAAGGGAAUGCUUACAUAGUGGUUCAAAUGUAAAAAUGUACUUACUUGCACACCUGGUACAAUUACAUUGGGUAGACAAUUAUAUGGAGGUUUUUCGCAAUUGCCACCGUUAUCAGGAAAAUAUAAUGUUGAUCGAGACCUCGCCUUCAUUGUAUAUACAACUUCUAGCCAAUCUGCCUUUACAUUACUAGUCGACGGCAACGACAUUUGUAACUCAUAAAUGUAUUGCACUUUUACUUAAAAACCGCAAAAGGAAAAAUUCUUUGUGUUAAAAAAAAAAGUUUUCGAAAGUUUCUUUUUAUGCGAAAACUUUUUUUUUGUGAGUUAACACAACCGCAGAAAUUAUUAAAAUCGACGCGAUUUGUAGAAAGUUUUUGCCAGAAGAAGUAAUUUUGACGAUUAGGCGAGGCAAAUAGCACAAGUUUUAUUUAACAAAUAAAUAAAAAAAAACUUUUGGGCAAAGUGUUUUCAGCAUUAAGUGUUUAUGAGAUGCGGGCACUUUUGAUAUUUCCAUACGGAAUGACGAAUAAAUACUGAAACCACAAGGGCGAAAAGUUUGUGAUGGAAUUUUUGUUUAUCGGAACGUUUGGGUUGUCAGGAAAAUUGGACAAUGGGCGAUGACUUUCUAAAAAAGAAUUUUUACACCGAAAACGGAUUUCCCCGAUUUAUAUAUUACCAAUACUCGAACCCCGUCGUUUCGUCAGAAAUAUAUUAAACACUUAACGUUUUCAAGAGCCGGUCUAGA